rnacentral:rRNA from 1 species
ACGCUGGCGGCACGCCUAACACAUGCAAGUCGAACGAAGUAGCAAUACUUAGUGGCAGACGGGUGAGUAACAUGUAGGUAUCUGCCCUUUGGCCUGGAAUAACACGAGGAAACUUGUGCUAAUACCGGAUAAGUCUUUACGGAGAAAGCUUUAUGCACCAUUGGAUGAGCCUGCACUUGAUUAGUUUGUUGGUGGGGUAAUGGCCUACCAAGACUGUGAUCAAUAGCUGAUUUGAGAGGAUGAUCAGCCACAUUGGGACUGAGACACGGCCCAAACUCCUACGGGAGGCAGCAGUGGGGAAUCUUGCACAAUGGAGGAAACUCUGAUGCAGCGAUGCCGCGUGAGUGAAGAAGGCCUUUGGGUUGUAAAGCUCUUUCGUCGGGGAAGAAAAUGACUGUACCCGAAUAAGAAGGUCCGGCUAACUUCGUGCCAGCAGCCGCGGUAAUACGAAGGGACCUAGCGUAGUUCGGAAUUACUGGGCUUAAAGAGUUCGUAGGUGGUUGAAAAAGUUGGUGGUGAAAUCCCAGAGCUUAACUCUGGAACUGCCAUCAAAACUUUUCAGCUAGAGUAUGAUAGAGGAAAGCAGAAUUUCUAGUGUAGAGGUGAAAUUCGUAGAUAUUAGAAAGAAUACCAAUUGCGAAGGCAGCUUUCUGGAUCAUUACUGACACUGAGGAACGAAAGCAUGGGUAGCGAAGAGGAUUAGAUACCCUCGUAGUCCAUGCCGUAAACGAUGUGUGUUAGACGUUGGAAAUUUAUUUUCAGUGUCGCAGCGAAAGCGAUAAACACACCGCCUGGGGAGUACGACCGCAAGGUUAAAACUCAAAUGAAUUGACGGGGACCCGCACAAGUAGUGGAGCAUGUGGUUUAAUUCGAAGAUACGCGCAGAACCUUACCAACACUUGACAUGUUCGUCGCGACUCUAAGAGAUUAGAGUUUUCGGUUCGGCCGGACGAAACACAGGUGCUGCAUGGCUGUCGUCAGCUCGUGUCGUGAGAUGUUGGGUUAAGUCCCGCAACGAGCGCAACCCUCACUUUUAGUUGCCAUCAUUAAGUUGGGCACUCUGAAAGAACUGCCAGUGAUAAGCUGGAGGAAGGUGGGGAUGACGUCAAGUCCUCAUGGCCCUUACGUGUUGGGCUACACACGUGCUACAAUGGUAUCUACAACAGGAAGCAAGACUGCGAAGUUAAGCAAAUCCCUAAAAGAUACCUCAGUUCGGAUUGCACUCUGCAACUCGAGUGCAUGAAGCUGGAAUUACUAGUAAUCGUGGAUCAGCGUGCCACGGUGAAUGCGUUCCCGGGUCUUGUACACACCGCCCGUCACACCAUGGGAGUUGGUUCUACCUUAAGGCAAGGUUUCAAACCCUUGACCACGGUAUAGUCAGCGACUGGGGUGAAGUCGUAACAAGGUA